GACAGUCGGAAGCGCAUCAGAGACGUAACUUUGUGCAGGGAAAUGGGUGUAUGCAAGCUGCUGCGAAAGUGCGAAGUAACAGGACGUAGUAUUUGCAAACGAAGAGGAGAAAACGUCCAGAUCAAUUACACGAAAUCGCGUUUAAUAUAUAAAACAAACUUGUCAGCUAAGAACUUGGAAAACACGACAACGGAAAAUAAUAAGAUACCCACUGAGGAUGCUACAACUGUGGUGAACUACGUUUGGGCGAUGAAGUAAAACAAUAAUUUGUGUACUUACAAAAAGGUGGACUCAUCCUAAAUUCAUUAACAUUUUUCUGCAAGCUCUGGAACUGAGUCCAAACUCAAAUAGGCCUAUGAUGUAAAUAGACUGUUGUAUUACAGAAGAUGAGAAGCUGAAACUCUCAGGAAUACCUGUAAUACUACCUUUACGACAUAGUUCUCCAGUUGGCCAACUCUUAAAGUUGUUGGGCAUAUAACUGAUGAAAUGCAAGAGGAAAUUAUCAACAAAUGGAAGCCUUCAAAGCAUGGUCUAUGGGCAAGUAUUCCACAGGGGAUAC